rnacentral:tRNA from 1 species
CUAAAAAUAAGCUACUUAAGCUGUUGGGCCCAUAACCCAAAAACGGACCAUCCUCCUUUUUAGA